UUUUAGGAAUAAUCUUUUACUUUUUUAAAAAGUAUAUUAUAGUAAUAAUGGUUAAAUAUAUUUACUUAUAAGAUACUUAAUAUUAAAUUAUAAAAUUUAUAACAAAAUAGGGGUAGUAUCCUUUUAUGAAAUUCUGAUUUAGGGUAGUUUUAAAAACCGAAAAUAAGUGGCAGUAAAAUAUUCAAAUUAAGGAAUUUUGAAAACUCAAUUGAUAAUCCUCAAUUUUAUUUACUUUAAAAAAUUUUUUGUGCGGCUGUUCAAUAAUAAUUUAAAAAUUUAAGUUUAAAUCAGGUUUUGCGUUAUUUAUAUUUAAAGGAAUUUUUGAAAUGUAGUUAAAAUAUUAUUCGAUGUUUAAUUAUACUUAAUACUUAAUAGUAAUAAAUAUAUUGAUAAAAUAGUUUUAUUUUAGGUUCAUAUUGUCCGUCACUCUCUUUU
rnacentral:rRNA from 1 species